AUGGGCUGGAGUGAAAGAGAUUUUUUAAAAAAGAAAGAAAGGGAACACCUGCAGAUGAAUAGAAUGCUUGCUCUCCCAGCCAAAAUUAUGGUUAAACUUUCCACUCUCAAAUGCCACUGUUGGAAAGGAGCUCUUGCACUGAAGAUCUUUAUAAUACAAGACAACAUAAAUAAGGGGCAGGGAAGGAUGGGCCCUUAGGGACCUGGGGUGAAAUUGCAAGACAGGUCACUUGGGGAGGGGAGAUCUGCAGGAGGAGGAGCCCAUCUGUGUACACUUGCAUAGAUGAAAGCUUCAUUGUAGUUCAUGUCCAACUGCAUUGAUUCCUGAGUUUCCUGUAAUCUUGGACAGAGUGCUGAAAUGUGAUGUCAGAGAAAGGAGACGUGGGUUCAAGUCCCAGGCCCACCCCUAUUUCGGGAAUCUUGGAAUCACCUCAGUCUCUCGUUUUCUUUGUCUGAAACAUGAAAAAAAAUCACUCAAUGAUCUCUGUGACCUCUUCUAGCUCAAAAGCAUGUGAUCAUGACCCUACCACCUUUCUCUCCACAUUAUUGAUGUGGCUACAGGAGUGUGCCCCACCUGAGGGAGUAUCCCACAUAACUAGCACCAUGAGAAGAUAUUACUAAGGAUUUUGGAGCCUAAAGAUAAGUUCUAUCCAUACCAAAGACCACCCUGUAGUCCUGCUAUAAGCCCUGGUCACCAAACCUAUGCAACACUGAAAUCUCCCUCAUGUUUGCAGCUAUCUGCUAUCUGCUGUGAUGCUCUGUCCCUUCCUGUGCCUUCUGGACCAAAGAAGGUUGGGCACUUGGAGAAGCCAGAAGAGGAAUGGCUCCACCUUGGGAUCAAAAUGAAUAUGCCUCCAAGAAGGCAGAGAAUUUGCCCUGGGGUUGAGAUAAUACAUGUGGCCAUUGAGAGCAGUAGGUUCCAGAUGGACCAGGACUGUCUCUUAUAGGCUUGUGAUCUAUGGGAUUUCACCUCACUGAGCCUCAGUUUCCUGACAUGUAACAGUGAUGAUGAUAAUAUGGCCUGAUGACAAAUAGCACCCCUGGAACAGGGCUAGAGGCUGUUGUAUGUGUGAAGUUCAGUACACACUUAACUGGCCCUUUGCCUACAAAAUAGUCCCAAAUUGCCACACAUGUGAUGAAAGGAAGAGGAAUCUCUCUCUUCAGGUGGCAGGAAAUGUGAAGUAGGUACAUGAGAAAGG
rnacentral:lncRNA from 1 species